rnacentral:rRNA from 1 species
AACGAACGCUGGCGGCACGCCUAACACAUGCAAGUCGAACGAGACCUUCGGGUCUAGUGGCGCACGGGUGCGUAACGCGUGGGAACCUGCCCUUAGGUUCGGAAUAACUCCCCGAAAGGGGUGCUAAUACCGGAUAAUGUCUUCGGACCAAAGAUUUAUCGCCUUUGGAUGGGCCCGCGUUGGAUUAGCUAGUUGGUAGGGUAAAAGCCUACCAAGGCGACGAUCCAUAGCUGGUCUGAGAGGAUGAUCAGCCACACUGGGACUGAGACACGGCCCAGACUCCUACGGGAGGCAGCAGUGGGGAAUAUUGGACAAUGGGCGAAAGCCUGAUCCAGCAAUGCCGCGUGAGUGAUGAAGGCCUUAGGGUUGUAAAGCUCUUUUACCCGGGAUGAUAAUGACAGUACCGGGAGAAUAAGCUCCGGCUAACUCCGUG